rnacentral:rRNA from 1 species
AUACGUAGGUGGCAAGCGUUGUCCGGAUUUAUUGGGCGUAAAGCGAGCGCAGGCGGUUUCUUAAGUCUGAUGUGAAAGCCCCCGGCUCAACCGGGGAGGGUCAUUGGAAACUGGGAGACUUGAGUGCAGAAGAGGAGAGUGGAAUUCCAUGUGUAGCGGUGAAAUGCGUAGAUAUAUGGAGGAACACCAGUGGCGAAGGCGACUCUCUGGUCUGUAACUGACGCUGAGGCUCGAAAGCGUGGGGAGCAAACAGGAUUAGAUACCCUGGUAGUCCACGCCGUAAACGAUGAGUGCUAAGUGUUGGAGGGUUUCCGCCCUUCAGUGCUGCAGCUAACGCAUUAAGCACUCCGCCUGGGGAGUACGACCGCAAGGUUGAAACUCAAAUGAAUUGACGGG